rnacentral:tRNA from 1 species
GCCGACUUAGCUCAGUUGGUAGAGCAANNACUGACUUGUAAUCAGUAGGUCGCCAGUUCGAUUCCGGCAGUCGGCACCA